UACAGAGGUCUCAAGCGUUGUUCGGAUUCAUUGGGCGUAAAGGGUGCGUAGGCGGCGCGGUAAGUCGGGUGUGAAAUCUCGGGGCUUAACUCCGAAACGUGCAUUCGAUACUGCCGUGCUUGAGGACUGGAGAGGAGACUGGAAUUUACGGUGUAGCGGUGAAAUGCGUAGAUAUCGUAAGGAAGACCAGUGGCGAAGGCGGCGUUUCUUGGUCUG
rnacentral:rRNA from 1 species